ACAUGACUGUGUACAAGUAAAAUAAGUACUCACAAGCAAACAGAACAGGAAACAGCUUUACUAGCUUACUCGAAAGCAGCCCGUAAAAACAUCAUCUGUUUUGUAAAACUAGAAAGCGUUUUCCUAUUCUUGCUCAUCAGAGACCAGCUGCACAAACUUGAGGCUAGAUUCUUGUGCUGGACAUGUAGAUGCGGUUUCAUGAAUUUGCCAGCAAUGCUAAUGCUUACGCUGCCAUGAUUCACGACCAAAGAGGCAGCUAAGACCUGGAGACUGGGAGUGCACCUCGUGUAAUUUCUUAAAUUUCAAAGGCAAUAUUGUGUGCAAGAAGUGCAACCAUGAAGGCCCAAAAGAUGUGGACACACAGUAUGAGCAGCAGAUAUGGAAGAAGCCUUUUUAAGAAACGUGUUUAUGGUAAGACACUUAAGUUCACAUGUGAAAUCUGCUUCUUUAAUACACUAGCAUGGAAGAUAAUUUACUCGAAAAGAGAUUCUGAGGCUUCAACUGGAGGAAUACUCUGAAACAGGCCGACACAACCAAGUUGGUGCUUUCUUUUGUGCUGCGGGCACAUAUGGUUAGAUGAAUGUUCUCUUUCAACUCUUCCUCGGGUAUCAGAAAAUCAGAGAUAAAAUCUCAAAUCUCUUUGUAAGUAUUUAUUUCUUCCUUUUUUGUUCAGAACUUCCAACGCAUGGCUUCUGCAAAUGGAAAGUUUUCUUUGUCCCA